rnacentral:rRNA from 1 species
CAGCCGCCGCGGUAAUACGUAGGGUGCGAGCGUUAAUCGGAUUUACUGGGCGUAAAGGGCGCGUAGGUGGUUAUGUAAGUGAGAUGUGAAAUCCCCGGGCUCAACCUGGGAACUGCAUCUUAUACUGCGUAGCUGGAGUGCAGUAGAGGGUAGUGGAAUUUCCGGUGUAGCGGUGAAAUGCGUAGAUAUCGGAGGGAACACCAGUGGCGAAGGCGGCUACCUGGACUGACACUGACACUGAGGCGCGAAAGCGUGGGGAGCAAACAGGAUUAGAUACCCCUGUAGUCCCUGUCUCUUAUAC